UUUCUUUGUUUUUUAAUUAUUUUAUAGGCUAUUAAGAGCUAUACGCUAUUAAUUGUGUGCCGUUUAAGAUCUCGUUUAGGGUUGGGUAUUGCGGAUGUGGAUGUCUGAUGUGCCAUAUACAUAAUUGUAUUUUGCUCGGGACCUGUGAUGUUGAUAAACAGUGAAAGGCAGUGACUGUGUUUAAAGCUAUAGCCUACAGACUGUGUGUGUGUGUGGAGGGAGGGGGGGGACUCUUCCUAAUCGUGUCACGGCAAUAUGUUUUCUCUGUCCCAAUGUGAUUGAAUUUAGUCAUGGACAGGCAGAAGAAGAGACUAAAUGAGGCCGUGUUGCCGUGGAGGUCUUUGCUGUUGAGGCAGUGAUGCAGCAUGAUUUCGCUGGCGCUGUGAUAGAGGGCGCUUGGUGAAUACGUGGAUCUACGUACUCACUUGGGGGAUGGGAACAUGUGCAAAGUAUCUAAUCAAGACGAUCACUGCCUGCUAGACCCACCAAGCCCCUGACGACUGUCACAUACAGGUCAUGUGCACCUGCUCAGAAGUUGCAUGCAUCAACCAAUGGCUGGGUGUCACGUCAUCGACUGUUCUGCCAGGCACCAGAUUGCUAUAACAUGUGGUUAGUUUAUAAGUAAAAUAACUAUCUGGCAUGCACUAAUCUGUUGUGGAAAGAUUCUGUUUGUAAACCAAGAUAAUCUGUUUGGAUUUAAUGGGAUGCUAGGAUAAGGAGCAGCACUAGUUCCCGUGUUUUGCUUGUCUUCACUGGUUAUUUGGACAAAUCACGAUUUCGAAGGUGUUACAGGCUGACUACACCGCUCGCGCGACUCGAGCGUUGCAAAAGAAAUGUAGAAAUCUAUAUUAUUCAAUUAUUGCACCCACACUGCUCGCGCGCACCAACGAGCGUUUGCGUUGCCAAGGGCUAAAAUAGAAGUCAGUUCUAUUUGUGACGCAGAUCGCCCUGCCUCUCCCAUCUCCUCAUUGGUUUAUAGAAGCAGGUACCCACGUGCCAUCUCCUCAUUGGUUAUACGCGCGUGGGUGACUGAAAGACGAACGAGGUCAGUGGCGGUAAUGCACCUAAUUUAUGAAAGUUGCCAAUCGCAAUAUAAAGUCAAGAGAAGAAAAAGCCUGGAAGGAAGAGAGACUAGAAACGAGUCGGUUGACUGUUUUAUUUGUGGAUUAAUUGGCGGUGUAGAGGACCUUGUGCAUUUCAGGUAAAAUAACUCAAUGUUUAUAUCCCAGGGCAAUUUAGCAACAGCAAUCUAGCUAAAUAGGACAAAUUAGCUAGCAAGUGCAAGCUAACUAGCUAAAUUGCCAUAAAUGUUUAAUGCUUUUCGACCUGUCCCCAAAUUAAUAUAAUUGGUUCAGAGUUUGUUUUGAUAUUUUAACCUGCGUGUCAUGAUCGCAUUUGGUGUGGGGGGGACAAAAUAAAUUUAUGCAUGAUGGAGCACGCGCGCAACCGGUUUGGAUUCCGUGUUAGCAUUUUUCGAAAUUUGGGAAGGGGAUGUGGCGCAUAACUUGUAAAGAGAGACGGUGGAGCUCCUCAUUCUAACAUUUCUUUAUCUCUUCUCUUAACAUGUAUGGACCCAGAACUUCUUUUUUUUAAAGGGGUGGAUCAGCUUAAUAUUGCGGAAAGAUUGUUGCUUCCAUCAAUGUAAUUGUCUGCAUCAUUUCCAAUCCCCCAUAUGCAUACAUAUACACAUAUAUACAUACACAUACCUAUAUAGACAUACAUACUUUUUUUAGAAUAUACUUUUAUUAUUCCCCGCAAACCCUACCACCCUUCCCCCAAUUGGAGUAAACCAAUAAACAACAACACUUAGGCUUCUACCUUCAGUCCAUACAUCUUAUACACAUUUUACAGACAAUCUAUUUUACAACAGUUAUAUCUUGUUUGUUUUUAGUCCUUCCUCUUUUUCUGAUAUCCAUCCAGUUUGAUUUCCAUUUGUAACUGUGCUAUUUCACAACAUUUCUGAACCCAUAUACAUUUUACAGACCCCGUAUGUUUUACGUUGGUUAUCUUGAUAUUAGUCCCACCCUUCAGCUCCAUUCAACCCCUCCCAUCUCUCUCUCAACACCAUCCAUUUUGGAUUUCUAUUUGCCAUAUAUUUUUCAACUGUGCUGUGAUGCUUCACAAAAGUACUGGACCUUCCUAUUCUCAUAGCUUAAACAGAUUGUAAAUUAAAAAUAAACAUUUUUGCUAAAAUAAUCAUUAUAUUACUGAUUGAUUGACUAUGACUUUUCAAAUCAUCCAGUAUUGCUAUCUGCAGCGUUAGUUCUAGGAAAAUGUUGCAAUUCUUCAGCCAUUCCUGGACCUGUGACCAAAAACGAGCUACAUAUGGACAAUACCAAAAUAAAUGAUCUAAUGACUCUGCCUCCUCACAGCAAAAUCUUCAGAGCUGGGAAGAUUGUAUCCCCCAUAUAUAUAACAUUCUAUUGGUUGCAAGAAUUUUGUAUAGUAAUUUAAAUUGAAAAAUUAGAAGUUUUGAAUCCGGCGUUGUUUUGCGUAUCAGUUCAUAAACCAUGUGCCAUGGAAUGGAUACAUCGAAAAUAUCUUCCCAACUAUUUUGCAAUUUAUAUGGCACAACUGUCAGUUUUUGGUCCUUAAAUGAAAUUGGUAUAUGUUUUUAUUUAUCACACUUUCUUUAACCAUUUAUGUUCUUUAAUACAGGGCCGACAUACAAGUUCCUUACCUUUUUCCCCUUCUACUUGCCUCUUCCAUUUUUGUGGUAAUGCUGCAAUUAGUUGGUUGUAAUUUUCAGUAGAGCAGACAUUUCCAUAUGUCUGUGUUAGCUGCAUGUGUGACAUAACUCCACCAGUCCUAUUUAUGAUAUAAUUCACAAAAAUUAUACCUUUUUUAAAAAAUUCUUCAAAAAAUAUGUUUUUUUAAUCAAUUAGUAUAUUUGAGUUUAACCACAAUAUUUGUUGUAUUAUUUGUUCUGUCUAUUCAGGUGGAUUAAACUGAAAUUGCAACCAACUCUCUAAGGCUUGUUUAAAAAAUAACGAUAUUUUGGAGAUCGUCAAGAUUGCCGUUGGAAGCUUACUCGGACCAACGCGCAGCGUGAUAUGGGUUCACAUGUUUAUUGAAUGAAACGCACAAAAACAAUAAAGAACGAACGAAACGUAAAGCUCAUGCAGUGCUCACAGGCAACUACACAGAAACAAGAUCCCACAAAACACAGUGGGGAAAUGGCUGCCUAAAUAUGAUCCCCAAUCAGGGACAACGAUAAACAGCUGCCUCUGAUUGGGAACCAUACCAGGCCAACAUAGAAAUUAACUACCUAGAUAGGAACACCCCCCCCCUAGUCACACCCCGACCUAACCCAAAAUAGAGAAUAAAAAGGCUCUCUAUGGUCAGGGCGUGACAAUUAUUUCCUUUUCAAACAACCGAAAGUGAGCAGGUGUAAUCUGAAUAAAGGGAAAAAGGCCAUUCUUGAACAUAGGAUGAGACAUUCCUACCAAUUUACUAGAGAACCAGUUUAGAUUUAAGCAUAACUUUUGUAUGACUGAUGCCUUUAGUGAGAGGUCUUAUGCUUUAAUAUUUAAUCAUUUCUGCCCUCCGAAUUCAUAUUCGUUAUAUAAAUAGGCCCUUUUAAUUUUGUCUGGCUUGCCAUUCCAAAUAAAAUUGAAUAUUAUUUGUUCAUAUAAUUUAAAUAGCAGGUCACUAGGUGUAGGCAAAACCAUAAGCAAAUAGGUCAACUGUGAUAUGACUAAAGAGUUAAUCAAGGUGAUUUUUCAACAAAUACAGAUAUUUUCCUUUCCAUGGUAGCAAGAUCUUAUCUAUUUUGCUAACUUUCUAUAAACAUUUAUUGGAGUGAGAUCAUUUCUUUCUUUUGGGAUUUGUAUACUGAGUAUGUCCACAUCUCCGUCAGACCAUUUAAUUGGUAAACUACACAGUAAUGUAAAAUGUGAAUUUUUUUGUGAUUCAAUAUGGAAUAUAGUAAGUACACUUAUCAUAAUUUGGUUUUAAUCCAGAGAGGAUAGCAAAAGUAUCUAGAUCCUCUAAAAGGCCGUGGAUAGAUUCUAAUUGUGGUUAAAAAAGAAAACAUGAAUCAUCAGCUUACAAUGACACCUUAGAUUUUAAGCCACGGAUUUCUAAUUCCUUAAUAUUAUUGUUUGAUCUAAUUUAAACAGCUAACAUUUCGAUGGCAAUAAUAAAUAGAUAUAUUCUAGGCAUUUAUAUAUAAACUCCAGUCGUACUUUUUCAAAAGCCUUUUCAAAAUCAGCUAUGAAAACCAGGCCCGGUGUCCCCGAUAUUUCAUAGUAUUCUAUUGUUUCCAGUAUUUGUCUUAUAUUAUCUCCAAUGUAUCGUCCAUGUAAAAAAAACAUUCUGAUUAGGAUUAAUAAUAUCUGACAAUACUUUAAUUCUAUGCGCCAAGCAUUUUGCUAUGAUUUUUGCAUCACAACACUGAAGUGUAAGAGGUCUCCAAUUUUUUUUAUGGACUAGAUCUUUAUAUAUAUACACACUCAUACAUACAUCACUUGGGUCCUGUUUCAGAAAUAAUGAUAUCAGAGCUUCUUGUUGCAUGUCUGAUAAUCUACCAUUUAUAUAGGAGUGGUUAAAACAUGCUAAUAAUGGUCCUCUUGAGUAUAUCAAAAAAAGUUACUUCCACUGGUAGGCCAUCCAGCCCUGGAGUUCCCAGCCUUAAAGGAUUUAAUUGCAUCAAGAAGUUCCUCUGUAAUUUGGCCUUCACAUGAGUCUUUCUGUACAGAUGUUAAUUUUACGUUAUUAGCAGAGACAAAAAUCCAUACAAUUAGUUUCAGUUAGUGGAGAUGAAGACUGAAAUGAAAACAUUCUUAAAGUACUUUACUUCCCCUUUCAAAAUAUCAUUCGGUGAAUCAUGCGUGACUCCAUUUGUAACAAGUUAUCACAUUUUUGGUAGCUUUUCUAUAUUGAAGAUUGAAAAAGAAUUUGGUGCAUUUUUCCCCAUCUUCCAUCCAAUUUGCUUUAUUUUUAUCAUAUAUUACACUGGGUCUUUCUUGAAUAAGUUCCUCCAUUUCUUUGUUUUUCCUCUAACGUAUUCGGUGCCUCUAUGGUACAGCUUAAGUUCUGGACCCAGAACUUAAGCAGCUGACCAAUUACAUGAGACUUUAGUUCUGGGUUAACCGAGAGUACAUAUAAACCAGAGGCUGGUGGGAGGAGCUAUAGGAGGACAGGCUCAUUGUAAUGGCUGUAAUGGAUUAAAUAGAACUGUAUCAAACAUAUUGAAACCACAUUUGACUCAGCUCCAUAAAUUACAUUCCAGCCAUUACAAUGAGCCCAUCCUGCUAUAGCUUUUCCCACCAGCCUCCUCUGAUAUAAACUGAUAGGCCUAUACAACAUGGGAAUAUUUUCCAGUCUUGGAUCUCGCCUCGGUUUGCUCUCCUCAUGCAGGAUUUGUAGGCGUAGGGUUUCGAUUUGUUUCAGAAUGAGCGAGCUCUUCAAAUUGUCCCAGUGCGCCUACAGUACUACAAUGGGCAGGGCAACAUGAUUUGAUGAUGCUAUGCUGGGACCAUCCCCACAUCCAAUAAGUCAAAGCUACAAAAACACAGAUGUAGCCUAUAAUAUGUUAUACAGGCUCAGGCCUAUACAGUUUAGAUCGCUCCCACACAUUAAUAUUGCCUACAGGUACUUGGGGAAAAAUGGCAUAUAUCAUGACACAAGGUGAGACCCAGAUGCAGAUGGUUGGAGUCUUAAUGUUUACUUAUCCAAAAGGAGUAGGCAAGAGAAUGGUCGUGGACAGGCAAAAGGUCAAAACCAGAUCAGAGUCCAGGAGGUACAGAAUAGCAGACAGGCUUGUGGUCAAGGCAGGCACAGAGUCCAGAAACAGGCAAGGGUCAAAACUGGGAAGACUAGAAAAAGGAGAAUAGCAAAAAGCAGGCGAACGGGAAAACCACUGGCUGACUUGGCACAUACAAGACAAACUGGCACAGAGACAGGAAACACAGGGAUAAAUACACUGGGGAAAACAAGCGACACCUGGAGGGGGUGGAGACAAUAGCGAGGACAGGUGAAACUGAUCAGGGUGUUACACAUAUAUGACUGGUAUUGGAUAUAUCAACUUUUAGGGUGAAUAUGCAUAGGCUGUCUUCUUGUAAUGUGUUCCUGCAUACUAUCUAACUUCUUGUUAGUACAGUAGGUAACCAGUUCCAUUGAAGACAUCAUCAUUUAUUUGUCAUAUGUUUAAUCUUUUGGGGGCUAUUGCCAAUAGGGGAAUUUAAUAAUAAUCGCUUCAGAAGCAGAGCAUAUUUAAGUUGUAAUGAGUUAGAAAAAGAAUGUGCGGCAGGAUCGUAAGUCAGCAAGCAUUGCAAGGAUGGAUCCCUUCGUACUCAAUUCCAUUCUGAGAGGGCCUAGCUACAUAGUUUUGGAAAGGGACUGUUUUGAACAGGUGACAAUACAGAGACAGCAGACAGCUGUGUGUUGUCUGUGCUGCAUCUCAACGAGUGAGCGUUUCUGCAGAGAGGACGAAGGGUUGACAGUGGAAUGAGUUCACUCAAAGUUGACUGUAGUUGUUAAUACAGAGCACAAUUCUCUCCAAGGAACAUCCCGUCUUCUGUGGGUCAGUUGCAUCGUAAGGUAGGAGGGAUAUGCUGGAUGAACCACUGCAACUGUGUAUUGAAUGUGAAGGGAUUUCAGGAUGACCACACCCAGAUCAAUGCCUGUGCCAUCCCUGGCAGGACUGGUAAAUGCAGCAAUCUCAUAGCACUAGAAAUUCAUUAACCGAUCAAUCAAUUUGAGUAAUAUCUUCAUGCUGCUCACAAAAACAUCUCUUUUGAGGUGGCUGAAGAUUGAUGAAUUGUGGUACUACUUGGUGCUUGUUUAGAGAUCCUAAUACUCUACACAGCUACAGCUGUGGCAAAUACAGUACCAGUCAAAAGUUUGGCCACACCUACUCAUUUUAUAUUUGAUAUUCUUCAAAGUAGACACCCUUUGCCUUGAUGACAGCUUUGCACGCUCUUGGCAUUCUCUCAAACAGCUUCAUGAGGUAGUCACCUGGAAUGCAUUUCAAUAAAGGUAUGCCCUGUUAAAUAGUGGAAUUUCUUUCCUUCUUAAUGUGUUUGAGCCAAUCAGUUGUGUUGUGACAAGGUAGGGGUGGUAAAAGACCAAGUCCAUAUUAUGGCAAGAACAGCUGAAAUAAGCAAAGAGAAACGACAGUCCAUCAUAAAACAAUUUUUGGACUGACCUUCAGUCAAUCAGGAAAAUGUCAAAUAACAGACACAUCUCAACAUCAAUUGUUCAGUGGAGACUGUAAAUUAGGCCUUCAUGGUCAAAUCGGUGCAAAUAUGCAACUGCUAAAGGACACCAAUAAUAAGCUACUUUGAAGAAUCUAAAGUAUAAAAUUUAUUUUGAUUUGUUUAACACUUCUUUUGGUUACUACAUGAUUCCAUAUGUGUUAUUUCAUAGUUUUGAUGUCUUCACUAUUAUUCUACAAUGUAGAAAAUAGUACAAAUAAAGAAAAGCUUACUUCAUUGUUUUAUUUUUUAUUAUUUUCAUUGCAUCAGGGAUAGCGCGCAGGGUGCUGAUUUCACACUAGAGUAGAGUACAGUAUAAUUGACGGUAUUGUACUUUACUGUAUUUUAUACUGUACUGAACUAUACUCUAUUGUACUUUAUCUACUGUAUGCUGUACUGUGAUGUCCAAACUUGUGAAACAUAGAUGUCUAUGAUUGGUAAAGAUUUGGUCCACUCCGGACCAACCAAAUCUUGAAUUGAUCUGGUCUUGUUUGGGUGCGGAGCUCAUUAGAAUAAUAGCCAGUGUGUAAAAAUAAUAUACAAACACUUAUUGUAGUACAAUAACCAAAACAGAU